AUGAACGUCAUCCACAACAUCAAGGCACAGGUCGAGGCCGUGUGCAGGCAGACUGUCUCCUGCGCCGACAUCCUCGCCGUGGCCGCCCGCGACUCCGUCGUCGCCUUGGGAGGGCCUUCGUGGACCGUUCCUCUCGGGAGGCGGGACUCGACGACGGCGAGCUUGUCUCUGGCCAACAGCGACCUUCCGCCGCCAUCCUUCGACGUGGCCAAUCUCACAUCCAACUUUGCUGCCAAGGGGCUUAGCGUGACUGACAUGGUCGCCCUCUCUGGCGCCCACACCAUCGGGCAGGCGCAGUGCCAGAACUUCCGAGAUAGGCUCUACAACGAGACCAACAUCGGUACGGCCUUCGCAACAUCUCUCAAGGCCAACUGCCCCCGGCCGACCGGGUCUGGCGAUAGCAGCCUGGCGCCGUUAGACACGACGACGCCCAACUCGUUCGACAAUGCAUACUACCGUAACUUGAUGUCACAGAAGGGGCUCCUGCACUAUGACCAGGUUCUGAUCAACGACGGAGGCACCGCGGGCCUAGUCCGGACAUACUCGUCGGGGUCGGCGCGGUUCAACAGGGACUUCAUGGGAGCCAUGGUGAGGAUGGGGAGCAUCAGUCCGCUCACCGGGAUGCAGGGGCAGGUCAGGCUCAGCUGCUCCCGGGUGAACUAA
rnacentral:rRNA from 1 species